CGAUAACUAUAAACAAUGACGAUUGUAGUUAUAAAAUUUCGCUAUAUGCUGGAAACUCUGCAAGUAUCCUAAAAUACUUUUAGUCCCGUGGUUCGGACUACAGGACUGAGUAAUAAUUUUUAGGCGACGCAGACAAUCAGCAGGCAACCUCAAUAAUAUUGAGAGAGUCCUCAGAGACUACACGCGAAAAUCGCUAAAAAAAGCGAUAUGAUAUAGUCCGAUCUUUAUGGCGACAUAAAG
rnacentral:ncRNA from 1 species